AAAACCUCAGCACCCCACCCAAACAGUCAGAAAAAGGUGCAAGCCCGAGCGGUCUUUUACCCUCUGACAGGAAAAGGAGCAGCUGUCAGCAUGUGCUAUAGGACGUUACACAUAGGAUCAGGUGCUGACAUGGAUGUGUGCCUUACAAACUACGGUCACUGCAACUACAUAUCGGGGAAACAUGCCUGUAUUUUCUAUGAUGAGAACUGCACACGAACCAGUUCUCCAUCUGUUGUAGGUUCUGGUCAGAGUGCCAGCUUGAAGUGCAGGGGAAAAAACAAACCAGUUUGGUGUUGGAGUUCUUCUCCAUCCAUAAUGGCGAUCUAGCCAGCGAGCCUGCUGGUAGAGAAAACACAAAAUGGGAAAGAAUGGGCUGGCUUAUUAUUAGCUAUUGCAAUUUUAAAGUAAAGGUCGCAGUAAGAAACGGGAAGAGGACGAGGGAGCCAACUCCGUGGUGGGGUUGUUGCCAGUAGGUGGAGUGAUGAGUAGCCAACGUCAGGGUGGUGCUGAGCCGUCUUGUAGCUGCAAAGCGAGUAGCUCCAGUCUAAUUGGAGGCAGCGGGCAGGCUGGGAGGGCACGGCCCUGCUCCAUCAUGGCAGCUACAUCAAACUGGGCUGCCUCCAAUUUGUCUUUAGCAUCACUGAGUUUGCCAGUAAGCAGCCCAAAGAGGAGCAGGCCACUACACCUGCUGCCAGUUGCACAAGCACCAGCAGCAGCAGCAGUGUCAUCAGCACCACCCUCACCACCACCGCUAACACCUCCACACCACCACCACCCAGCACCGCC
ensembl:lncRNA